rnacentral:tRNA from 3 species
AGAAAUUUAGGUUACUAUCUCUUAAACCAAGGGCCUUCAAAACCUUAAACGGGACUAAAGUCCCAAUUUCUG